GAGUAAUGUCUGGGAAACUGCCUGAUGGAGGGGGAUAACUACUGGAAACGGUGGCUAAUACCGCAUAACGUCGCAAGACCAAAGAGGGGGACCUUCGGGCCUCUUGCCAUCAGAUGUGCCCAGAUGGGAUUAGCUUGUUGGUGAGGUAACGGCUCACCAAGGCGACGAUCCCUAGCUGGUCUGAGAGGAUGACCAGCCACACUGGAACUGAGACACGGUCCAGACUCCUACGGGAGGCAGCAGUGGGGAAUAUUGCACAAUGGGCGCAAGCCUGAUGCAGCCAUGCCGCGUGUAUGAAGAAGGCCUUCGGGUUGUAAAGUACUUUCAGCGGGGAGGAAGGUGUUGUGGUUAAUAACCGCAGCAAUUGACGUUACCCGCAGAAGAAGCACCGGCUAACUCCGUGCCAGCAGCCGCGGUAAUACGGAGGGUGCAAGCGUUAAUCGGAAUUACUGGGCGUAAAGCGCACGCAGGCGGUCUGUCAAGUCGGAUGUGAAAUCCCCGGGCUCAACCUGGGAACUGCAUUCGAAACUGGCAGGCUUGAGUCUUGUAGAGGGGGGUAGAAUUCCAGGUGUAGCGGUGAAAUGCGUAGAGAUCUGGAGGAAUACCGGUGGCGAAGGCGGCCCCCUGGACAAAGACUGACGCUCAGGUGCGAAAGCGUGGGGAGCAAACAGGAUUAGAUACCCUGGUAGUCCACGCCGUAAACGAUGUCUACUUGGAGGUUGUGCCCUUGAGGCGUGGCUUCCGGAGCUAACGCGUUAAGUAGACCGCCUGGGGAGUACGGCCGCAAGGUUAAAACUCAAAUGAAUUGACGGGGGCCCGCACAAGCGGUGGAGCAUGUGGUUUAAUUCGAUGCAACGCGAAGAACCUUACCUGGUCUUGACAUCCACAGAAGAAUCCAGAGAUGGAUUGGUGCCUUCGGGAACUGUGAGACAGGUGCUGCAUGGCUGUCGUCAGCUCGUGUUGUGAAAUGUUGGGUUAAGUCCCGCAACGAGCGCAACCCUUAUCCUUUGUUGCCAGCGAUUAGG
rnacentral:rRNA from 1 species